rnacentral:rRNA from 1 species
UCAAGCUACAAAGAGCGCAAGGGGAAUGCCUUGGCACUGGGAGCCGACGAAGGACGUAGCGAUCUACGAUAAGCCACGGUGAGCCGAAAGCAGGCAUCGACCCGUGGAUUUCCGAAUGGGGCAACCUGGCUGAAUAGAACUCAGUCAACAUACGGUGAAUAAAAUAGUCGUAUGUAGGGAACCGCCUGAACUGAAACAUCUAAGUAGGGCGAGGAAAAGAAAUCAACCGAGAUUCCGCAAGUAGUGGCGAGCGAACGCGGAAGAGGCCAAACCGAGAGUAGUAAUACUUUCGGGGUUCGGACAGAAUACGGCAUUGUAAAGGUUUAGUGGAAUGGAAUGGGAAGUCCAACCGAAGAAGGUGAGAGUCCUGUACACGAAAAGCCUGAACAGCCAUCUGUAUCCAGAGUACCGCCGGACACGUGAAACCCGGUGGGAAUAUGGGGGGACCAUCCUCCAAGCCUAAAUACUACUCGGUGACCGAUAGUGAAGAAGUACUGUGAAGGAAAGGUGAAAAGUACCCCUGACGGGGAGUGAAAAAGAACCUGAAACCUUGUGUUUACAAGCACCGAAAGCUCAUCAAAGAGCGAUCGGGUACCUUUUGUAGAAUGGUCCGGCGAGUGAAUGUAACCGGCGAGGUUAAGCACUUAAGGUGUGAAGCCGCAGCGAGAGCAAGUCUGAAUAGGGCGUAUGAAGUCGGUUGUAUUCGACCCGAAACCGGGUGACCUACCCAUGGUCAGGUUGAAGUAAAGGUAAAACUUUAUGGAGGACCGAACCGACUCCCGUUGAAAUGGUAGCGGAUGAACUGUGGGUAGCGGAGAAAUUCCAAUCGAACCCGGAGAUAGCUGGUUCUCUCCGAAAUAGCUUUAGGGCUAGCCUUGAAAUAGAUUACCGGAGGUAAAGCACUGAAUUGGCUAGGGGCCGAGAGGUUACUGAACCUUAUCAAACUAAGAAUGCCGGAUAAUCGUUUUUCAGGAGUCAGACAGUGGGAGAUAAGUUUCAUUGUCAAAAGGGAAACAGCCCAGACCCACAGCUAAGGUCCCCAAGUAUAGUUAAGUGGAAAAGGAUGUGGAAUUGCACAGACAACCAGGAUGUUGGCUUAGAAGCAGCCACUCAUUUAAAGAGUGCGUAAUAGCUCACUGGUCGAGUGAUUCUGCGCCGAAAAUUUCCGGGGCUAAAACUUACUACCGAAGCUACGGCAUCAUUAUGAUGGGUAGGGGAGCUUUCUAUGCGGCUUGAAGCAUGACCGUAAGGACAUGUGGACUGCAUAGAAGUGAGAAUGUUGGCAUGAGUAGCGAGAUGUGGGUGAGAAUCCCACAGGCCGUAAACCCAAGGUUUCCAGGGGAAGGUUCGUCCGCCCUGGGUUAGUCAGGACCUAAGCCGAGGCCGAAAGGCGUAGGUGAUGGACAACAGGUUGAUAUUCCUGUACCACCAAUAACCGUUUGAGAAAUGGGAUGACACAGUAGGAUAAGCUAACCGCACUGUUGGUUAUGUGCGGGCAAGUAUUGAGGCAGUUCCGAUAGGCAAAUCCGUCGGAAUAAUGCUGGGGUACGAUGCGGAGCGAAAUUUAGUAGCGAAGUAGCUGAUUUCACACUGUCGAGAAAAGUCUCUAUCGAGGUUAAAGGUGCCUGUACCGCAAACCGACACAGGUGGGUGAGGAGAGUAUCCUAAGGCCAGCGAGAGAACUGUUGUUAAGGAACUCGGCAAAAUGACCCCGUAACUUAGGGAGAAGGGGUGCCUUCGAAAGAAGGCCGCAGAGAAUAGGCCCAAGCGACUGUUUACCAAAAACAUAGGUUUCUGCUAAGUCGCAAGACGAUGUAUAGGAGCUGACGCCUGCCCGGUGCUGGAAGGUUAAGGGGAUCUGUUAGAGCAAUCGAAGCAGUGAACUUAAGCCCCAGUAAACGGCGGCCGUAACUAUAACGGUCCUAAGGUAGCGAAAUUCCUUGUCGGGUAAGUUCCGACCCGCACGAAAGGCGUAACGAUUUGGGCACUGUCUCAACAACAGACUCGGUGAAAUUGUAAUACCGGUGAAGAUGCCGGUUACCUGCGACAGGACGGAAAGACCCCAUGGAGCUUUACUGUAGCUUGACAUUGAGUCUCGGUGCUACAUGUACAGGAUAGGUGGGAGACUAUGAAGCAUGGACGUCAGUCUGUGUGGAGUCAUCCUUGGGAUACCACCCUUGUAGUACUGGGAUUCUAACCAGAGGCCAUGAAUCUGGUCUUGGGACACUGUCAGGUGGACAGUUUGACUGGGGCGGUCGCCUCCCAAAAAGUAACGGAGGCGCUCAAAGGUUCUCUCAGUACGGUCGGAAAUCGUACGAAGAGUGUAAAGGCAAAAGAGAGCUUGAUUGCAAGACAUACAGGUCGAGCAAGGACGAAAGUCGGACUUAGUGAUCCGGUGGUACCGCAUGGAAGGGCCAUCGCUCAACGGAUAAAAGCUACCCUGGGGAUAACAGGCUGAUCUCCCCCAAGAGUCCACAUCGACGGGGAGGUUUGGCACCUCGAUGUCGGCUCAUCACAUCCUGGGGCUGUAUUCGGUCCCAAGGGUUCGGCUGUUCGCCGAUUAAAGUGGUACGCGAGCUGGGUUCAGAACGUCGUGAGACAGUUCGGUCCCUAUCCGUCGCAGGCGUAGGAAAUUUGAGGAGACCUGUCCUUAGUACGAGAGGACCGGGAUGGACGUACCGCUGGUGUACCAGUUGUUCUGCCAAGGGCAUGGCUGGGUAGCUAAGUACGGAAAGGAUAAGCGCUGAAAGCAUCUAAGCGCGAAGCCAUCCCCAAGAUAAGUCUUCCCUUGAGGGGCGUAGGAGACUACUACGUUGAUAGGCUGCAGGUGUAAAGACAGCAAUGUCAAAGCCGAGCAGUACUAAUUACCCGAUAGGCUUUCUUU